AAAAAAGUGAUACUUCUAAGCCGAAUUUCGAACAUCGGUCAAUUCCAUACGAAAGAGCAUACUUUUCUCUAAAUAAUAGCAUAUUCUUUAGAGAUUUUAUCUAAAAAGUUAAUAUUUUAUGAGGAAUAUAGUCAAAAUUUUAGUAUCGUUCGUUAGGGAAUUUUCACGGUUUUUUCAAUACUAAAUUGAAAAAAAGUGAUACUUCUAAGCCGAAUUUCGAACAUCAGUCAAUUUCAAACGAAAGAGCAUACUUUUU